rnacentral:rRNA from 1 species
AUGUCCCUCGCAGAUCUGGACUUCUCCAAAGGGCAAGCCUUUGAGAAGAGGAUAUGGGAUCGCCUUCGAAAGCCAAUCAUCUAUGCAUCAGAACCAGGGCUCCGAGAAUUCUUUCUUGUUGCUGAAUUCACCCGCUCGAAGAUCAAGCUUUCAGAGGCCUCGGUGGGCACGAUCCUGCUAUCGUGUUUUGGAGGCCGGGCUUCCUCCUUCAAUGUGAAGGCCAUCCAGUGGAACCAAUUCAAAUUCUCUGUCUCUUCUCUCGAUGUGGGGUGUGGCAUCUAUAAUGGAGGUAACAUUUCAUCGCAUCUUUUUAACAUGGGUUUCUUGCUCUGGGGCCCUAGUGGACCUAAAUCUCGUCAAAUCGGCGAUCCUUUUUCGCCGGAGCUUGAAGAAGGCUAG